AACCUAGCACACCUGCGGUGUGUACCUGCGGAAGGAUCAUUACCUAGAGUUGUAGGCUUUGCCUGCUAUCUCUUACCCAUGUCUUUUGAGUACCUUACGUUUCCUCGGCGGGUUCGCCCGCCGGUUGGACAAAACUUAAACCCUUUGUAGUUGCAAUCAGCGUCUGAAAAAACUUAAUAGUUACAACUUUCAACAAUGGAUCU
rnacentral:misc_RNA from 1 species